rnacentral:rRNA from 1 species
UUCCGGUUGAUCCCGCCGGAGGUCACUGCUAUUGGGAUUCGACUAAGCCAUGCGAGUCGAGAGGGUUCGGCCCUCGGCUGACUGCUCAGUAACACGUGGAUAAUCUGCCCUAUGGUGGAGGAUAACCUCGGGAAACUGAGAAUAAUACUCCAUAGGUCUAGGAUGCUGGAAUGCACCUAGGCUCAAAACUCCGGUGCCAUAGGAUGAGUCUGCGGACUAUCAGGUUGUAGUCAGGGUAAAGACCUGACUAGCNUACGACGGAUAUGGGUUGUGAGAGCAAUAACCCAGAGAUGAUAUCUGAGACACGAUAUCAGGCCCUACGGGGCGCAGCAGGCGCGAAAACUUCACAAUGUGCGAAAGCGCGAUGAGGGAAUCCCAAGUGCUUGCACGUAAGUGUAAGCUGUUUUUAUGUUUAAAACGCAUGGAGAGUAAGAGCUGGGUAAGACGGGUGCCAGCCGCCGCGGUAAUACCUGCAGCUCGAGUGGUGGCCGCUAUUAUUGGGCCUAAAACGUCCGUAGCCUGUUUAAUAAAUGCCUGGGUAAAUCGUGUAGCUUAACUAUACGAAUUCCGGGUAGACUGUUAAACUUGAGACCGGGAGAAGUUAGAGGUACUCCUGGGGUAGAGGUGAAAUUCUGUAAUCCUAGGGGGACCACCAGUGGCGAAGGCGUCUGACUAGAACGGGUCUGACGGUGAGGGACGAAGCCCUGGGGCGCAAACCGGAUUAGAUACCCGGGUAGUCCAGGGUGUAAACGCUGCUUGCUUGAUGUUAGUCGGGCUCCGAGCCCGAUUAGUGUCGGAGAGAAGUUGUUAAGCAAGCUGCCUGGGAAGUACGGUCGCAAGGCUGAAACUUAAAGGAAUUGGCGGGGGAGCACAGCAACGGGUGGAGCGUGCGGUUUAAUUGGAUUCAACGCCGGG